GACGAACGCUGGCGGCGUGCCUAAUACAUGCAAGUUGAGCGCUGAAGGUUGGUACUUGUACCGACUGGAUGAGCAGCGAACGGGUGAGUAACGCGUGGGGAAUCUGCCUUUGAGCGGGGGACAACAUUUGGAAACGAAUGCUAAUACCGCAUAAAAACUUUAAACACAAGUUUUAAGUUUGAAAGAUGCAAUUGCAUCACUCAAAGAUGAUCCCGCGUUGUAUUAGCUAGUUGGUGAGGUAAAGGCUCACCAAGGCGAUGAUACAUAGCCGACCUGAGAGGGUGGUCGGCCACAUUGGGACUGAGACACGGCCCAAUCUCCUACGGGCGGCAGCAGUAGGGAAUCUUCGGCCAUGGACGAAAGUCUGACCGAGCAACGCCGCGUGAGUGAAGAAGGUUUUCGGAUCGUAAAACUCUGUUGGUAGAGAAGAACGUUGGUGAGAGUGGAAAGCUCAUCAAGUGACGGUAACUACCCAGAAAGGGACGGCUAACUACGUG
rnacentral:rRNA from 1 species